rnacentral:lncRNA from 1 species
GAAAAGAAAAGCAACAAUCUGGAUUCUGGAGGGCCGGAGAGCACAUAGGGAUGCUCGAGCGUUGUCACAGCGACACAACUUGCUAGGACACUGUGCACGCGCCCCGCCGAGAGGCAGCGUGAGCGAGCUAAAGAAGCAAUCGCACAAGCGCAGCAUCUUUUCGGUGCAUGGCUAUAACGGGUCGGAGGGGAAUCACGGAAAACCACCGCUAUUACCCAGAGACGAAGCAGGCAAGCGCCACCAUGAUUCAAAUCGUCCUCGCUAUUUAAACUGUCGUUUGAGCUAUCCUCUCCACCCGCAAAGGGCAAGCGGGGAUGUUUUUUUUGGUUGAAAAUCAACCUGCUUGCAAAAUCACUGUUGCCAAUUUAUGUAGACAAGGAAUUAGACAAGAUAUAGUUUCGUUGUCAACAAAUGAUAUAUAAAGAUAUAUAUAUAGAGACUCGUCAGAUGGAAAGCCACCGCUGGAAGAAUUAUUCCGAAAUCACUUUACAUGCCUUUAUCUCGUGUGUAAUGCGCCUCACGCAGCAAUAGGCUUUAUUUGUUGGAAUCCUUUUCCUUAUCUUUCGUCGUUGUCUCCGUGACCGUCAUCAGAAUGUGGUAGCCCGGUCAAUCUACCGGGAUUGAGCGGGUGUUGUCGGUAAACAGAACCUGGGAAGCGUUCUAAAACCGUCUCCUUCUGCAAAGGACUAUGCUUCAAUAUUUCCCCAUCUAGAGGAACGGUUUGACAGCGAUCUAGAAGUCAAAGAAGAUUCCUUUUGAAAACCCCUUGGAAUCUUGCUACCCUUUAGACCACAUAACAGGUGCAGGUGGAGAUUGUGUUUUUGAAGCUGUUUCUGGGCACACAGGUGGACAUGCAAAGGCACAGCUACACACCCUCCCCAGA